CAUACAUCAUGGGCUGGAACCUCUCAUUACCCAUUGCCCUUUGUUGGUUCAUCACUGCUGCAAUGUACUGCUGCUGCUGCUGUUCCUGUAGCUGCUACUG